rnacentral:siRNA from 1 species
CAUAAGAGGAUGCUCACCUCUUGC